rnacentral:sRNA from 2 species
UAUUCUGCCCAUGCGGGAAGGAUGAGAAACUUCGACUAAGGUUCGAUUCGAGCGUAGCGAGAAAGCGUUGCCAAAGACAACGACCCGAAGGGCGAAGCGCGCAGCGCUGAGUAAUCCUUCCCCCACCAUCA